rnacentral:rRNA from 1 species
UCAGAUUGAACGCUGGCGGCAGGCCUAACACAUGCAAGUCGAGCGGAAACGAGUUAACUGAACCUUCGGGGGACGUUAACGGCGUCGAGCGGCGGACGGGUGAGUAAUGCCUAGGAAAUUGCCCUGAUGUGGGGGAUAACCAUUGGAAACGAUGGCUAAUACCGCAUGAUGCCUACGGGCCAAAGAGGGGGACCUUCGGGCCUCUCGCGUCAGGAUAUGCCUAGGUGGGAUUAGCUAGUUGGUGAGGUAAGGGCUCACCAAGGCGACGAUCCCUAGCUGGUCUGAGAGGAUGAUCAGCCACACUGGAACUGAGACACGGUCCAGACUCCUACGGGAGGCAGCAGUGGGGAAUAUUGCACAAUGGGCGCAAGCCUGAUGCAGCCAUGCCGCGUGUGUGAAGAAGGCCUUCGGGUUGUAAAGCACUUUCAGUCGUGAGGAAGGUUUAUGCGUUAAUAGCGUAUAGAUUUGACGUUAGCGACAGAAGAAGCACCGGCUAACUCCGUGCCAGCAGCCGCGGUAAUACGGAGGGUGCGAGCGUUAAUCGGAAUUACUGGGCGUAAAGCGCAUGCAGGUGGUUUGUUAAGUCAGAUGUGAAAGCCCGGGGCUCAACCUCGGAAUAGCAUUUGAAACUGGCAGACUAGAGUACUGUAGAGGGGGGUAGAAUUUCAGGUGUAGCGGUGAAAUGCGUAGAGAUCUGAAGGAAUACCGGUGGCGAAGGCGGCCCCC